CAACUGGGGAAUGUGAAGGACCUGAAAAGUGAUGCAGAGUUUGCUGUCUUUCUGUUGACAGAAUACUGCAGCUGAGGAAGUGGAUCUGGAGCAGAGCCUGAGAGUCCCGUCCUCCCCCCCUCCAUCAAAUCCUCUGGCUCGCUGGCUGAAGUUGUCCAUCCAUUAGGACAUCUCCUCAUUUGUCACGGCUCAUUUCCCAGGGAAUCAAAAGCCCAUUAGCCACUUAAUGGACCUCUGCGUGAACUUAAUGUAUGUACAGUACGGCAGCGCUCAGCGGAUGUGGGAAAAAGUUUGCUUUUGCACAGUUUGCUUUUCCUCUGGGGUGAAAAACAACAGCAGAGUUAUACAAAUAUUGAAGUAACAACAGUGACAAAUGACAGUUUUUUUGUUCUCUGCAGGAAUAAUGUCACCAAACAACAGUGGGAUGUUUUUCACAAGACACAGUGUCUGAAUAGAAUUCAAACCAACGCCAUAUUUGGCACUCUCCAAAAUAAUCUCUGUGGGAUGUUUUUUUUUUUAUUUCAACCUCAAAAUUCAUAAUCAAAACCAUAGAUCCUGGAAAGCAAGUCCUGUUCUGACAUCAAGUGUCAUGAUAUCCAAGAAAGCAGUUUAAUCUCGUACUGAGCUACACCUCAAGAAGAUCAUUAUAUAAAAUGAGUAAUUAUUACAAACAUGGAAAUACUUAAAUGUUUGGUUUUUUGUUUUUUUUUCCCAAACCGAGUCACGAAAAAAUGACCGUUUUCUCAAACAGAGGAUCCAUCCUCACUGCGACCAAAGGCAUCAGAGCACUGGUCACCCUGUCAGACAAGCUGUUACUGUGCCCCCGUCAGCCCACCAGAUGGUGCCUUUCACUUACUAAGUGGUAUCCAUACCCAGGGCACAGUUCAGUGGUGCAAUGACAUUAAAAUGAAAUAGUCUCCCUGUUGUUAUCUGUUGCUCUUUCAUCACAACAACCAUUUCCUUAGAGAGCGUGAAACCUUGAGCCUCCAAACUCGUGAAAUUUUCAACUGUUGAGCAACUGUCAGGCCAUCAUAACAAACCUUUCAAAGACCAGUCAGACUUGACCGGUUUCUCAGAAACGUCUUUAAACGCUGAUAUUUAGGGUAGCUGGCAGCUUCGUUGACAGCACAACAGCUGAUCUGUUUCUGCUGUGAUCUGGCAACAUGCUCACUGCAGAGCAAGAGGAGCCGGAGGAACGUAUGUAUGAGUGUCGACUCUUAUAAUGCUUCUUUAAGUUGGUGUGUGUUUAGCUGCACAAAAAGUCAAAUGCUCUCUGGACUUAUUGGUACCAUGAACGUAUCUAUAGGCUGAUAGUUUUAUGUUUUUGUUAUACUGUUUACAUUAUUUGCUCUGUGUGGAAUCAUACCUCUGAUUUAUUUUGCAUUUUAUAAUAACUCAGCAAGUACUGUUAAAUGAAUAACAGCCUGCAAAAACACAUAUUUUACCUUUAUUCCCGUAACAUUGUUCGUGUAUUCAUUGCAUUUUAACCCUUGGGCACAUGGGUUAUUGUUGUCCUCUGUAAGUGGGUCAGCAUUAAGGCUCACUAGUUUUUGUUCAUAAUAGAUAAGCCAAUUUCAGAAAUAAGGGAGAAAUAAUGAAAGAAAACGUAAACUUCAAGGUGCAAUGUCUGUGAAUUUAUAUUCCCAAUCCUUGAGCACUAGCUGAAUGGCUAACUGAGCUAAUUCAUUAAGGGCAGCUACAGUUAGCAGUUGAGAUCUUCACCCAUCAUGCAUCCUGGAAAGUGACAAAGUUACAUUUUUCUCUCUAAAUUUCAUGAUUACAUAACUGCAACAAUAAACUGGGCACUGUCUGACUCUCACUCAUGGGGACGGAGGCUGUUCUCUGGGGGAAACUUUAUUGAAUUCUCAGUCAGGAGUAACUACAACCACUAAAUAGUGGAAGAUGACAAAACACUUACUGAGUAAAAGUUUUUCUUGCCAGGGACAGAGACAUGUGACGAGGAGUCAGUAGGACAGACGGGACAGACAUUUUGUCAAAGUCAGUGUAAAUGCUGACAGCUGAAGUGAUUGUGAAAAACCUGCUGGAUAUAUGGGAAAAUACUGGCCUGAAAUACAGAAAAAGCUGUACUUUUCAAAAGCUGAAAAGUCAUAGGUUGAAUGGCCUUCAAAGGCUCAGCAUUUUGGCUCAAAAAGAUGAAUAUUUGUUACAUGUUUUCAUGUGGAUCACACAAUGUGAUUCUGAACGUAAACGUUUCCCAUCAGAUGGAACCUUCAGUGAUCAAAGUGAACAUUCCAUGAUGCGUGUCAGCGAGGGUAUAAAAGGGACAGCUUCAGGCUGGCUCAUCAUUUCACUUCAGCCGUCUGAAGAGGUCACACUGCUGAUCAACAGGGAAAGCAGAGCGAGCAGCCAUCACUGACGCCGCGGCGGACAGCAGACUUUAACAACGCUCACCUCCAACCACAGAGGAUCAGCGUUUCACUGCUUCACAGCAGCCAAACAUACCAACCUGCUGUCAUCGCUGUCACACCGCAGGCCGUCACUCUGCAGCGUCAGCUUAACAACCAAGUCAAGUCUCACGCACACACGCUCUUGGUGGGCUCGCAUGUGACCGACAACUUCACGGCUGAGCCGGACACCUUUUGUCAAACGACGGCAAACGAGAUCGGUGUCCGGCAGCAACACACCACAGAUGAUGUGAGAGCCAGGCGUGAGGAGAAGUGCGGGGAACAGCCGAUGGAGUGCGAGGACGAGCCAGCGGAGCAGCAACAAUCGCUCCCUGAAGUCCACCGAUAACGCACCGGCCCCUCAUCUGGACACAAAUCUGGACAUUAAUCUGGACAUGAAUUUGGAAAUGAAUCUGGAAAUGAAUGUUUAAAAUAAAAAUUUGAAAUGAAAUUGAAAAUCA